rnacentral:rRNA from 1 species
AUUGAACGCUGGCGGCAGGCCUAACACAUGCAAGUCGAGCGAGAGGCGGACGGGUGAGAAUUAUGUGUGAACCUCCCGGACGGCGGGGGAGAACAACUGGAAACGACGGCUCAUACCGCAUACCCUCAAAUGUGCCCAGAUGGGAUUAGCUAGUGGGUGGGGUAACGGCUCACAUAGGCGACGAACCCUAUCUGUUCUGAGAGGAGCACCAGCCACACUGGACCUGAGAAACGGUCCAGACUCCUCUGGAAGGCAGCAGUGGGGAAGAUUGGACAAUGAGCGAAGGCCUGAUGCAGCCAUGCCGCGUGUGUGAAGAAGGCCUUGGGGUUGUAAGGCACUUUCAGCGGGGAGGCGUUACCCGCAGAAGAAGCACCGGCUAACUCCGUGCCAGCAGCCGCGGUAAUUC